rnacentral:rRNA from 1 species
GAGGAAUAUUGGUCAAUGGACGAGAGUCUGAACCAGCCAAGUCGCGUGAAGGAAGACGGCCCUACGGGUUGUAAACUUCUUUUGUAAGGGAAUAAAUAGUCUUACGAGCUAAGACGUUGCAGGUACCUUACGAAUAAGGAUCGGCUAACUCCGUGCCAGCAGCCGCGGUAAUACGGAGGAUCCGAGCGUUAUCCGGAUUUAUUGGGUUUAAAGGGUGCGCAGGCGGCAUGUUAAGUCGGCGGUGAAAUUUUGCAGCUCAACUGUAAAAGAGCCUUCGAAACUGGCAAGCUUGAGUGUGGAUGAAGUAGGCGGAAUUUGUGGUGUAGCGGUGAAAUGCAUAGAUAUCACAAAGAACACCGAUUGCGCAGGCAGCUUACUAAACCAUAACUGACGCUCAUGCACGAAGGCGUGGGGAUCAAAC